UACGGAGGGUGCAAGCGUUAAUCGGAAUUACUGGGCGUAAAGCGCACGCAGGUGGCUGAGUCAGUCGAUUGUGAAAGCCCUGGGCUUAACCUGGGAAUUGCAGUCGAUACUACUCAGCUAGAGUACGGGAGAGGGUAGUGGAAUUCCCGGUGUAGCGGUGAAAUGCGCAGAUAUCGGGAGGAACACCAGUGGCGAAGGCGGCUCACUGGCUCGACACUGACGCUGAGGUGCGAAAGCGUGGGGAGCAAACAGG
rnacentral:rRNA from 1 species